rnacentral:rRNA from 1 species
CUACGUGCCAGCAGCCGCGGUAAUACGGAGGGUGCGAGCGUUAAUCGGAAUAACUGGGCGUAAAGGGCACGCAGGCGGUGACUUAAGUGAGGUGUGAAAGCCCCGGGCUUAACCUGGGAAUUGCAUUUCAUACUGGGUCGCUAGAGUACUUUAGGGAGGGGUAGAAUUCCACGUGUAGCGGUGAAAUGCGUAGAGAUGUGGAGGAAUACCGAAGGCGAAGGCAGCCCCUUGGGAAUGUACUGACGCUCAUGUGCGAAAGCGUGGGUAGCAAACAGGAUUAGAUACCCUGGUAGUCCACGCCGUAAACGAUGAUUACUAGGUGUUGGGGGUCGAACCUCAGUGCCGCAGCUAACGCAUUAAGCACUCCGCCUGGGGAGUACGACCGCAAGGUUGAAACUCAAAGGAAUUGACGGGGGCCCGCACAAGCGGUGGAGCAUGUGGUUUAAUUCGAAGCAACGCGAAGAACCUUACCAGGUCUUGACAUCCCUCUGACCGCUCUAGAGAUAGAGUUUUC